rnacentral:tRNA from 1 species
CGGGGUGUAGCUCAGCUUGGUAGAGCGCUGUCUUCGGGAGGCAGAAGUCGCUGGUUCAAAUCCAGUCACCCCGACCA